UGCCAGCAGCUGCGGUUAAACAAAGAAUAUAAAUAAAUUUUAUAAAUACAUAAAGUUAAAUUGAAUUUAUUUAAUUAAUAAAAAAAAGUUAGGUGAAAUUUUAUUUUUUUAAAAAUUAAUAUAAAAAAUUAUAUUGAAUCUUCAAAAUUUUAUUUUUAAACUAGGAUUAGAUACCCUAUUAUUUAAUUAUUUACAAAUAUAAAAAUUAGAGUAGUAAUAGUUAUGAUCUUGAAACUCAAAAAAUUUGGCGGUAUUUUAGUCUAUUCAGAGGAACCUGUAGUAUAAUCGAUAAUCCACGAUGGAUCUUACUUAAUUUUGUUAUUUAAUUUGUAUAUCGCCGUUAUUUGAAGAUUUUAUAAGAAAAAUAAUUUUCUAAAAUUUUUAUUAAAAAAUAAAUCAGGUCAAGGUGCAGUUUAUAAUUAAGUUUUAUAUGGGUUACAAUAAAUUUAUUUAAACGAAAUAAAGAAUGAAAAAUUUUUAGGAAGGUGGAUUUGAAAGUAAAUUUUUAAAGAUAAGAAAAUUGAUUUUAGCUCUAAAAUAUGUACACAUCGCCCGUCACUCUUGUUAAUAAUAUAAGAUAAGUCGUAACAUAG
rnacentral:rRNA from 1 species